rnacentral:rRNA from 1 species
UACAGAGGGGGCAAGCGUUGUUCGGAAUUACUGGGCGUAAAGCGCGUGUAGGUGGAUUGGUGUGUCAGAUGUGAAAGCCCUGGGCUCAACCCAGGAACUGCACCUGAAACUACCAGUCUUGAGUGGUGGAGAGGGAAGUGGAAUUCCUGGUGUAGAGGUGAAAUUCGUAGAUAUCAGGAGGAACACCAGUGGCGAAGGCGGCUUCCUGGACACUAACUGACGCUGAGACGCGAAAGCGUGGGGAGCAAACAGG